CUUGGACUCACAGCGACUAUAUACCUCUUAAUUCUGAGUCCUAGGAUUAAAGGCCAUUCCAGAUACCAGUAAAAUUCCUUUCCUGUCUAUCUCUGAGAGUUCGGACUUUACAAGAGGCAUUCAUUCUCCAGCCUCAUUGAGGAGAGGAAGGUAUUGAUUCUCCAGCCAUGCUGAGGAGAAGCAGCAGUCUGAUGCUUGGUGGAGAGCUCGUGGAGACAGCAUCAGCCCUUUCAUCUGGGUAGUGCACGAUCUGGUGGACAAGAAACUCCAGCAAUACAUGCCCAUCUGUAACUCUAAUUGGGAAGGUUAUGACUUGCUCUUCUGGCCUUCUUGACUACCAUCCAUGAAGGUAAUGUACAGAUGUACUGUCCUGGCUGUUUUUAUGUCAACAUUACACAAGCUAGAGUCAUCAGAGAGUAGAGAGC
rnacentral:lncRNA from 1 species